rnacentral:rRNA from 1 species
UCUUGCACAAUGGGGGAAACCCUGAUGCAGCGACGCCGCGUGGGUGAUGAAGUCCUUCGGGAUGUAAAGCCCUUUCGACAGGAACGAUAAUGACGGUACCUGGAGAAGAAGCUGCGGCUAACUACGUGCCAGCAGCCGCGGUAAUACGUAGGCAGCAAGCGUUGUUCGGAGUUACUGGGCGUAAAGAGUGUGUAGGCGGUUGGGCAAGUUCGGUGUGAAAUCUCCCGGCUUAACUGGGAGGGUGCGUCGAAUACUGCCCGGCUAGGGUGCGGGAGAGGAAAGCGGAAUUCCCGGUGUAGCGGUGAAAUGCGUAGAUAUCAGGAGGAACACCUGCGGUGUAGACGGCUUUCUGACCGUAACUGACGCGAGACACGA